rnacentral:rRNA from 1 species
ACGUAGGGGGCAAGCGUUAUCCGGAUUUACUGGGUGUAAAGGGAGCGUAGACGGCGAAGCAAGUCUGAAGUGAAAACCCAGGGCUCAACCCUGGGAGUGCUUUGGAAACUGUUUUGCUAGAGUGUCGGAGAGGUAAGUGGAAUUCCUAGUGUAGCGGUGAAAUGCGUAGAUAUUAGGAGGAACACCAGUGGCGAAGGCGGCUUACUGGACGAUAACUGACGUUGAGGCUCGAAAGCGUGGGGAGCAAACAG